CAGAUCAUAUCUCAAACCUGCAUCUACCAGCACCUACCUGGAGCCUUCCAAAGCUGCUGUUGGAAUGGCUCAUAGGUGGUCAUUGUCGAUACUGCCGCCUAAAGACAGCCGCUACAGCCAUACAUAUCACC